rnacentral:rRNA from 1 species
CUUGCGAGGUGCUGCAUGGUUGUCGUCAGCUCGUGCCGUGAGGUGUCGGGUUAAGGUCCCAUAACGAGCGCAACCCCUACCUGCUAGUUGCCAGCGGGUCGAUGCCGGGGACGUCUAGCGGAACUGCCAGCGUAAGCUGCGAGGAAGGUGGGGAUGACGUCAAAUCAGCACGGCCCUUACGUCCAGGGCUACACACGUGUUACAAUGGCCAGUACAGAGGGCAGCCACCCCGCGAGGGGGCGCUAAUCCUAAAAGCUGGUCCCAGUUCGGAUCGGAGUCUGCAACCCGACUCCGUGAAGCUGGAUUCGCUAGUAAUCGCGCAUCAGCCACGGCGCGGUGAAUACGUUCCCGGGCCUU